rnacentral:tRNA from 1 species
GCCAAUUUGGCUCAGUUGGUAGAGCAACGCAUUCGUAAUGCGUAGGUCGCCGGUUCGAGUCCGGCAAUUGGCU